rnacentral:tRNA from 1 species
UGUGUUGUGACUCAGUGGUAGAGCGCUUGCCUAGCAUGUAUGAGGCACUGGGUUUGAUUCUCAGCAACACAU